CUUUACUGUAGCCUGGAAUUGGGUUCGGGCUUCGCUUGCGCAGGAUAGGUGGGAGGCGCUCGAUACUGCCCUUGUGGGGGCAGUGGAGCCAACGGUGAGAUACCACUCUGGCGAAGCUAGAAUUCUAACCGGUAGCCGUGAAACCGGCACUGGAACCGUUUCAGGUGGGCAGUUUGACUGGGGCGGUCGCCUCCUAAAUUGUAACGGAGGCGCGCAAAGGUUCCCUCAGCACGGUUGGAAAUCGUGCACAGAGUGUAAAGGCAAUAAGGGAGCUUGACUGCAAGAGCAACAACUCAAGCAGGGACGAAAGUCGGCCUUAGUGAUCCGACGGCACUGAGUGGAAGGGCCGUCGCUCAACGGAUAAAAGUUA
rnacentral:rRNA from 1 species